UGACAUUUAGUAUAAAAGUAGGGAAAAGUGCUUCAUACAGCAUCACUGCAGCAUUACUGAAAUUGUGACGGCACAUUCUGAAAUAAACAUGUUUACCAUGGAAAAGCUGACACUUCUGCUUCUCUUCAUGACCUUCUCUCAGGGGGCAGCAGGUUACUAUUAAAAUAAUUAUUGUUAUUAUAGUGAGAGCUAAGAAAACAUUUUAUACUUUUCCAAGAAGUUACUUUCUGAAUAGCUUACACAGUUUAUUAUUUAAAGUGCUUACGUGACCUACAUGUUGUUGGGUUAUUAAGCAUAAUCGAUGAUUGUGGAUGUAAAUACUCACUGUUUCUUGAAUAUCAUAUAUACAGCUGAUGGCUGUCCCACUGAUGGUCAGCAUUUGGACUGAAAUGUGUCAAAUUCUUCUCAGCACCACUUGACUGGAUGGCAGCAGAGAAGUACUGUCAAACUUUUGGUGGGAAUCUCGUAUCGGUGCACAGUAAAGCUGAAAACGGUCUUCUGCUGAACAUGGUGCCUGGUGCGACACGAACUUGCAUUGGUGGUCAUGAUGCUGUAACAGUAAGUGGU